rnacentral:rRNA from 1 species
UACAGAGGGUGCGAGCGUUAAUCGGAAUUACUGGGCGUAAAGCGCGCGUAGGCGGCUUUGCAAGUCAGGUGUGAAAUCCCCAGGCUUAACCUGGGAACUGCACUCGAGACUGCAUUGCUAGAGUAUGGGAGAGGGAAGUGGAAUUUCCGGUGUAGCGGUGAAAUGCGUAGAUAUCGGAAGGAACAUCAGUGGCGAAAGCGACUUCCUGGACCAAUACUGACGCUCAUGUGCGAAAGCGUGGGGAGCAAACAGG